GCUGUAGCUCAGGGUAGAGCGACGGCAUUGCAUGCAGAAGGCUAGAGCAUGAGACUCUUAAUCUUAGGGUCAUGGGUUCGAGCCCCGCCGUGGGCA